CACACCAAUUUGAAAAAUGACAACAAUUUCCUCAAGCAUCAACGUCUUCGACAGAAAACCAGCUCUUCAUGUCACACACAGCUGUGGUCCACUGGUGUUGUUCUGUUGUUGCGUUGUUGUUGUUGUUGUUUUGGUUGUUGUUUUGUUGUUGUGUAUAUUACCGGGAGCCCGGCCAGCCCGUGCAGAUUGUUAGCUAGCUAGCAUUUGUCCUGCAGUGAGGAAGCUCAUCGCACCUCCACAAACACACACCCACACACGCACUGAGCCACACACCCACACACACACACACACACACACACACACACUCUGAGACACACAGUCUGCACAGCCUGUGUGUGUGUGUGUGUGUGUGUGUGUGUGUGAGAGAGAGUUUACUUACAGAAUGAAGACACUGGUGAGGUCACCAGAAUCCACCGCGGGGAUCUCCCUCAGGCCCGGGACAGGACCGGUAGGGUCUGUAGGGUCUGUAGGGUCAGUAGGGUCUGUAGGGUCUGUAGGGGGUCAGUAGAGUCAGUGGGGUCAGUAGGGGUCAGUAGGGUCUGUAGGGUCAGUAGGGUCAGUGGGGUCAGUAGGGUCAGUGGGGUUAGUAGGGGGUCAGUAGGGUCAGUAGGGUCAAUAGGGUCAGUGGGGUCAGUAGGGUCAGUAGGGUCAGUAGGGUUAGUAGGGGUCUGUAGGGUCAGUAGGGUCAGUAGGGUCUGUAGGGUCAGUAGGGUCUGUAGGGGACCAGAUGACCAGGAGGUCUGUAGGGAGUCUGUAGAGGGUCUUGAGGGGACCAGAUGACCAGGUGGUCUGUAGGGGGUCUGUAGGGGGGUCUGUAGGGGGUCUGUAGGGGACCAGAUGACAAGGAGGUCUGUAGGGGGGUCUGUAGAGGGUCUUGAGGGGACCAGAUGACCAGGAGGUCUGUAGGGGGUCUGUGGAGGGUCUGUAGGGGGUCUGUAGAGGGUCUUGAAGGGACCAGAUGACCAGGAGGUCUGUAGGGGGUCUGUGGAGGGUCUUGAGGGGACCAGAUGACCAGGAGGUCUGUAGGGGACCAAAGGGUCGGGUCAGGAGCGUACAAUCCACUCUUUGUUUAGGUCUUCAGUCUUCUUCUGUGCUCUGAUUGGCUGUUUGUGGUCUGAGGACCUGAGAGAGGCCUUGAGUGGGGGGCCUUGGGGAGGAGAUGGGAGGGGAGAGGGGACUGGAGAGAGGAAGGAAGAAGAAUAGAGAAGAUCCACCAAUCAGAGAUCUGGAAACACCUGCACCCCGCCCUCUAUACCUCAGACUGGGAGCCAAGACUAAG
ensembl:lncRNA